rnacentral:rRNA from 1 species
AGAGUUUGAUCCUGGCUCAGAUUGAACGCUGGCGGCAUGCCUUACACAUGCAAGUCGAACGGCAGCACGGGAGCUUGCUCCUGGUGGCGAGUGGCGAACGGGUGAGUAAUACAUCGGAACGUACCCAGGAGUGGGGGAUAACGUAGCGAAAGUUACGCUAAUACCGCAUAUUCUGUGAGCAGGAAAGCGGGGGAUCGCAAGACCUCGCGCUCUUGGAGCGGCCGAUGUCGGAUUAGCUAGUUGGUGAGGUAAAAGCUCACCAAGGCGACGAUCCGUAGCAGGUCUGAGAGGAUGAUCUGCCACACUGGGACUGAGACACGGCCCAGACUCCUACGGGAGGCAGCAGUGGAGAAUUUUGGACAAUGGGGGCAACCCUGAUCCAGCCAUGCCGCGUGAGUGAAGAAGGCCUUCGGGUUGUAAAGCUCUUUCGGCGGGGAAGAAAUGGCAACGGCUAAUAUCCGUUGUUGAUGACGGUACCCGCAUAAGAAGCACCGGCUAACUACGUGCCAGCAGCCGCGGUAAUACGUAGGGUGCGAGCGUUAAUCGGAAUUACUGGGCGUAAAGCGUGCGCAGGCGG